UGCCCAGACUCCUACGGGAGGCAGCAGCGAGGAAUAUUGGUCAAUGGGCGGGAGCCUGAACCAGCCAAGCCGCGUGAAGGAAGAAGGCACCAAGCGUCGUAAACUUCUUUUGUCGGGGAACAAAGGGCGCCACGUGUGGCGUUGUGAGUGUACCCGAAGAAAAAGCAUCGGCUAACUACGUGCCAGCAGCCGCGGUAAUACGUAGGGAGCAAGCGUUGUCCGGAAUUACUGGGCGUAAAGGGCGCGUAGGUGGGCGCUUAAGUCAGGUGUGAAAACUCCGGGCUCAACCUGGAGACUGCACUUGAAACUGGGUGUCUUGAGGGCAGGAGAGGAAAGUGGAAUUCCUAGUGUAGCGGUGAAAUGCGUAGAUAUUAGGAGGAACACCAGUGGCGAAGGCGACUUUCUGGACUGUACCUGACGCUGAGGCGCGAAAGCGUGGGUAGCGAACGGGAUUAGAUACCCCCGUA
rnacentral:rRNA from 1 species